UACGUAGGGUGCGAGCGUUGUCCGGAAUUAUUGGGCGUAAAGAGCUCGUAGGCGGCUUGUCACGUCGGAUGUGAAAGCCCGGGGCUUAACCCCGGGUCUGCAUUCGAUACGGGCAGGCUAGAGUGUGGUAGGGGAGAUCGGAAUUCCUGGUGUAGCGGUGAAAUGCGCAGAUAUCAGGAGGAACACCGGUGGCGAAGGCGGAUCUCUGGGCCAUUACUGACGCUGAGGCACGAAAGCGUGGGGAGCAAACAGG
rnacentral:rRNA from 1 species